UGUUCGACUGUAGUUCCAGCCGAGGUUGCCGCAAACAAACACAGAAUUCUAAUUAUUAAUUCAUUGUUGCUGCACCUUCGACGCAGUCAGCGAAGAGAAGAAAACAUAAACACGUUGUGAAAUUUCCACUUUCGUGUAUUUCCACAAUCACAUUUCCAUGAUUCAGGGAUGAUGGCUUCGAAGUGAGCGGAAGAAGAAAGUGCGCGAGUUCAGCAAUUCCACAGGCACCAAAGUCCACCCCCGCACGGCAUUCCUCCGAUCGAUAGGUUCUGCGACGGCGUCUACCGGCAGGCAGGCAUUCAGCAAGAACAAUCGUGUCCAGUGAGGAGAGUGCAUGUGUUCGGUGCAUUUACGUACGAAACGAUCGAGUGUCUUCUACUAGCAUGUACAGGAAUUGAGACGAUUUCCGGGCGGUUCUUCAGUUAGGGGGGGUGAAAGAUAAAAGCCGAAAGAAAGAUAGAUCGAGUUGGUUUUUGCGAGUGUUUCGGUAGAUUUCGCAAAGUGCAGCGAUCCGAUGGGGAAGAUGAAGCUCAUCCCCGUUGUUUACCACGGUUUUACCGCCAUGGACAGACGAUUCAGCAGCCCGAUGCUGCCUUGGAUCGUCUCCGAGAUCAGGAAGCGGGAUUACCAGGAAAAGGUCAGUGAGUCAUUAGCCCUGUUUCACAUUCACCGCUCACCCUUCCACUCUCUCUCUCUCUCUCUUUCUCACAGCCCAAUCGAUUUCCACACACGCGAACUUCCUCGAUCCUAAUCCUUAAAACAAAUAAUAUAAACACUAAAUAAAACUCUGAUUAACAUUUUCGCAAUUUCCAUUUUCUCAUGGAAUUCCCGAAGGAAAGCGGCCGCGAUAAUAGCUUUUCAAUCAUCACUCGAAGAUGUCAUUAGUCGUAAUUAUCAGCACGUGGAAAAUAACCGAUAAUUAAUACAACUUUCUCCCUCCGGACGAUUCGCGUACCUUUCUAGACAUUUUCCAUCUCUUGGAAAUUAGAUUUUAAUGCGCUUUCAAAUAAAUUUAAUAACAAAAAUUCAUACAUUCGCAGUUAUAAUUAUUUAAAAAAAGAAUUAUUAUCGCUGCGGAAAAUGUCAGGGAUUCAGUGGAAACCGCAUCUAGCGGUUCCUCAGCGGAUCUACGAUAAUCACAAUUAUUCAAACUUAAGUGUAAUGAAUUUAUUUAUAAGAAAUUUAGAUAACAAACCUCGCUUUGGAAAAUGACGAGGUAAUGACAAAUCGAGAAAAUGGAACAAACUUUCACACAGUCCUUCUUAUCUGGCGGUUUAUUUAUUAUCGGUAAAGCAAUGCCGUAUGCAUUUCUCGCUGCUUCAAUAACAAGUGUUUCUCUUCACUGUAUUUCUUGUUUUUUUUUUAAUUAUUGUAGAAGUUUGAUUAAAUCUUAAUUGUCAAUUUUAAAAGAAUCGGUUGGAUGCAUACAAACGAAAUUUGAAUAAACCGUUUUAACAUUUAUGAGGUAAUUACGAAACGUACAUGCA